UGUUGUGACCCUCUUAAACAAGACAAUACUGCCAUCUACUGUACAUAGAAUAGAAUGUAAAUAUAUUCUACAUUUAAGUGCAGUCAAGGAACAUGCAUUAGGGAGUCUGUUCUGAAGCCCACAGUAAAGAGACGUAACUUCAUCAUGUCGCCUGGUUAUUGACUCCAACCCAAUAUAUUACACCGUCGACGGGCAAAAUGAAGAAAUAUGCUUGCAAGUUCCAGAACAAUUGGAAACACAAAUUUCAGUUUAUCCAGGAGAGUUCGAAGGGGAAGGGGUAUGUUGUCUGUAAAUUUUGUAGAACAGACUUCUCCAUCGAACACGACGGCCGAACGGAUAUAUUCAGUCAUGAACAGUGAGUCGGUGAAGCACAAAGCGUCCGCAGCGCAGCAUCGUCACAACCCAGUAUUAUGGCCCACAUCGCAAAAUGGAGACCCGAUGGUGUAACUUAUGCUGAGACAAAGAUGGCUACGCUGAUAGCUGGAAGCAACAUCACGUUCUCAUUUGCAGAUGUCUACAACAAAUCCGUGAAGGAUGUUCCCGGAUUCGGAGAUCGCUCGCCAAUACGCAAAUGGCAGAACAAAGGUUACUCAAAUAGUGAAAGGGACGUAAGAGUACUCAGCAUUGAGUGAGCCACACCACAACACUACGGCGCUGGGCGGUGUAACGUAACGUCAAUUCAGUGGUACUGGCAGGUAAAAACACCACAAGACCACAAGACCAGAAGAAUGCUUUAUUUGGUGGUCGCCAUCACAACAUACAAUUUCAAAUGCAACCAUUCACCAAAAGAAAAUGAAAAGGCCAAGGUUGUCGUGUACUGCAUGGGGGGAAAAGCAAAAUUCAAAAUAAGCAUGUUCAAAAAUAAUGUACCUCUCCCACGAUGGUGAAAAACAUGUUCCCACCCAGGUGCAGCAGAUUGUAUAUAACACUCCCCCAUGAUGCUUCAAUCAAACAAAACAAGGAAAAUGUAUCUAAGAUGAACAGAAGACAAAUAUAAUCCAAAUCCAAUCAUAUUAUUUCAGCAUAUUUAAUUUUAGAAAGUAAAUCCUGAACCUCAAGACUAGAAAGAAUACAUUUCUGACAGGUGGUUAUUUUCCAUUUGAUUGGGAAAAAGUUUGUGCAGGUAUAUUAUUUCAAAUAAAACGUCUUAAAAUGUUUUUGUUUUCUGCUCUAAAUAAUAUCAAAAGGUUUGAAAAGCAAAGAAGACAUUAAUUUUGUAUUGCUGCCUCCGACAUGAACCUUCCUGGCAAAUUUCCCAGCAAAUUGCAUUUUCCUUUUUGUUUCUGCCUUGGAUUUUGUAGCCAAUUCCUGUCUCUUCGACUCCCUUUCCACUUCUGACUGAUCCAAGUGCAAAAAUCAUUAUUAUCUAACUUCAUUUAUCUGAGUAGCAAUAUUUUGAAAUAACAAAUAUCUUGCAGUCGUGUUGU